UCUGGUUCCACUAAUUAGCUCUGUAAUGGCUCCCCUCUGGUUCAGGCUGUCUUCACCGGUUCCCAUUUGUUUUCACCUAUCUGUCUCUGAACUCAGUUUUCUCAGCAACACAGUCUGCCAUCCUUGAAGAUGCAGCAUCAUGGAAACCAAGGAUCACACCAGACCGGUCACAUUUAAAGAGGUGGAGAGGUUUAAAGCUGAAUUAGGGAUCGAAUGAAACGGGAAGAAAAAAAAAAGAGAAAAAUAAUAAUCAAUGCAAGAGGCAGAACUUCAAGCCACCGUUUUACAGGUAAUUAAAGUCUGGAAAGCAAGAAGUGAAGAGGCAUUGAGGCAUGUAAAGUGAAGCUUGUCGUAUAUUUUCUCUUGUGUCUUCUGAUUGAAACAGACAGCAUCAUUUUUGUAAUCAGAGCAAUUUACCAAAAAAAACCCUUUGCAUGUGUAGCCCAAUACAUUUGAAUAUUUUAGAAAUUUGUAAAUAUUAUU